AGAGUUUGAUCAUGGCUCAGAUUGAACGCUGGCGGCAUGCCUAACACAUGCAAGUUGAACGGCAGCAUGGUCUAGUUUACUAGAUUGAUGGCGAGUAGCGAACGGGUGAGUAACGCGUAGGAAUAUAGCUUAGAGAGGGGGAUAACUCGGGGAAACCCGAGCUAAUACCGCAUAAUAUCUUAGGAUCAAAGCUGGGGACCUUAGGGCCUGGCGCUUUAAGAUUAGCCUGCGUCCGAUUAGCUAGUUGGUGGGGUAAGGGCCUACCAAGGCGACGAUCGGUAGCUGGUCUGAGAGGAUGGACAGCCACACUGGGACUGAGACACGGCCCAGACUCCUACGGGAGGCAGCAGUGGGGGAUAUUGGACAAUGGGGGCAACCCUGAUCCAGCAAUGCCGCGUGUGUGAAGAAGGCCUGAGGGUUGUAAAGCACUUUCAGUGGGGAGGAGGAUUGACAGGUUAAGAGCUAGUUAAUUGGACGUUACCCACAGAAGAAGCACCGGCUAACUCCGUGCCAGCAGCCGCGGUAAUACGGAGGGUGCGAGCGUUAAUCGGAAUUACUGGGCGUAAAGGGUGCGUAGGUGGUUUAGUAAGUUAUCUGUGAAAUUCCUGGGCUUAACCCAGGCAUGUCAGGUAAAACUGUUGAACUUGAGUAUAGGAGAGGGUAGAGGAAUUUCCGGUGUAGCGGUGAAAUGCGUAGAUAUCGGAAGGAACACCGGUGGCGAAGGCGUCUACCUGGCCUAAUACUGACACUGAGGCACGAAAGCGUGGGGAGCAAACAGGAUUAGAUACCCUAGUAGUCC
rnacentral:rRNA from 1 species